UGGGGAAUAUUGGACAAUGGGCGCAAGCCUGAUCCAGCCAUGCCGCGUGCGGGAAGAAGGCCUUCGGGUUGUAAACCGCUUUUGUCAGGGAAGAAACGCUCUGGGCUAAUACCCUGGGGUAAUGACGGUACCUGAAGAAUAAGCACCGGCUAACUACGUGCCAGCAGCCGCGGUAAUACGUAGGGUGCAAGCGUUAAUCGGAAUUACUGGGCGUAAAGCGUGCGCAGGCGGUUAUGCAAGACAGAUGUGAAAUCCCCGGGCUCAACCUGGGAACUGCAUUUGUGACUGUAUAGCUAGAGUACGGUAGAGGGGGAUGGAAUUCCGCGUGUAGCAGUGAAAUGCGUAGAUAUGCGGAGGAACACCGAUGGCGAAGGCAAUCCCCUGGACCUGUACUGACGCUCAUGCACGAAAGCGUGGGGAGCAAACAGGAUUAGAU
rnacentral:rRNA from 1 species